UGCUAAGCAGGGACGGUUAGAGUUCAAAUUGCGUAGCUAGUAAUAAGACAAUAAAAUAAGAAUGAAUAUUAGCUGUAAAUGUUGUUUCUCUUAUUUGCAGAAACUCAAGGCAGUUAUAUUUCCAAGACAUCAUCCCUAUAAGAACCAUAUAGAAUAUACCUUAUAUAUAUAUGUGUGUGUGUAUUAUAUAGUUGACGAAUAAAUCUGACAAUGGGAUUAAUAUUA
rnacentral:lncRNA from 1 species